rnacentral:rRNA from 1 species
CCCCUAGAUGUUCUGGGCCGCACGCGCGCUACACUGAACAGUUCAACAAGUCUUAACCUUGGCCGAUAGGUCUGGGUAAUCUUUGAACGCUGUUCGUGAUUGGGAUAGACCUUUGCAAUUAUGGGUCUUCAACGAGGAAUUCCUAGUAAACGCAAGUCAUCAGCUUGCAUUGAUUACGUCCCUGCCCUUUGUACACACCGCCCGUCGCACCUACCGAUUGAAUGGUCCGGUGAAAUCUUCGGAUCUGAGAGAUGUCUGAUUAAUUUCGGACGCCUUUUGGAAAAGUUGUUUAAACCUUACCAUUUAGAGGAAGGUGAANUCGUANCA